AGCGAACGCUGGCGGCAGGCUUAACACAUGCAAGUCGAACGGGCACUUCGGUGCUAGUGGCAGACGGGUGAGUAACGCGUGGGAACGUGCCUUUCGGUUCGGAAUAAUCCAGGGAAACUUGGACUAAUACCGGAUACGCCCUUCGGGGGAAAGAUUUAUCGCCGAAAGAUCGGCCCGCGUCUGAAUAGCUAGUUGGUGAGGUAAAGGCUCACCAAGGCGACGAUCAGUAGCUGGUCAGAGAGGAUGAUCAGCCACACUGGGACUGAGACACGGCCCAGACUCCUACGGAGGCAGCAGUGGGGAAUAUUGGACAAUGGGCGAAAGCCUGAUCCAGCCAUGCCGCGUGAGUGAUGAAGGCCUUAGGGUUGUAAAGCUCUUUUGUCCGGGAAGAUAAUGACUGUACCGGAAGAAUAAGCCCCGGCUAACUUCGUGCCAGCAGCCGCAGUAAAAC
rnacentral:rRNA from 1 species